AUAUUUAUUUAAUUUAAUUUCGAUUUAUUUAAAAAAAAAAAACUGGUCUAUGAAUAUUGAUGUCUUCCUUAACCAGUUGGAUGGUUAACCCGAUUUGAAAACCUCUCGAAACAGGCCAUGGAAAUACCCGAUUAACUCGACUUGAACUUGACUUAGCAGUAACUUGGCAUUGCUAAUUUGCUAUGCUCAGCGAUCGCAGUUCGCUGGCAGCCUAAAAAAUGGGAUUUGGAGCUCUAAGAAGUGUAAUUUGUCCGUUCUCAAUAACCCUAUUAUUCCGUACCUCCACUUCCCCUACAACAUCUCUUUUUCCACCUUCUCCAUCUCCAAAACUCGACUUCUGUUUCGCCCUCCGUCAGUCGCCAUGGUUUCAGAUUUCGAGUUAUUUUAUCAUCUUCUCUGAGUCGAACCAUUUCGAUGGAUUAACUGACUCUCGCUUUCCAAAGCGAAGACCUCAGGAUAAGCCUCGUCGAAAAAGGGCCAACUUGAGACCUCCUAUUGGAGGCAAAAAAGCGGAAAGCUCAGUUACAGGAGGCUAAAAGGAAGAAAAUUAUCAAGAGAGUAGAGCGUAAGAUGGCUGCAGUGGCAAGGGAGAGAGCGUGGGCCCAAAGACUGGCAGAGCUGCAGCAGCUCGAGGAAGAGAAGAAAAAAUCAAUGGCGUAGUUAUUUUUUUUUUACUAGAUCUCAUCUGCAUACGCAAUUGCCUCUUUUCCCAUUUUUAGUUGAAUGCUAAACCUUGCUUUUGUACGUUUCUCGUAUGUUGUUCUUUCUUGACUGUUGAUUGGGUUAACCAGUAGUGAUCUCAAUAGCAUUUGGUCUUGAAGGAA